AAUCCCUCCGCUGACUGACAGAGGCCUUAGUGUGUCUUCAUGGUUUAUUAGAGUCAUCUGUUAAAAGAGGACUCUAUGGGUUGGAAGGCUCAGAAGACGCUCGUGGCUGUUUGAUAAUUAUUGGAGAAAUUUAUUGUGAGAGUCAACGACACGAAGACUUCUGUAAGGAGAACAAUGAAACGCGGAAACACUGAUAUAUAUUUUUUGGGUUUCUCUUGAGAACAUGUCACUUCAGAUAAUAUUGCAAUAGAUAAUACUAACAAAAUAUAAUACACCAAAUAAGUGAAGCAGUUAUUAGUUCGGAAAAAAACGAAUCAAGUGAAAGGAAUCAGAAUGAAGCAAAUACAGACGACCACACCAGCGAGGGCGUUCCUUGGGCUCCUCCUCGUCCUUCUGUGGGCGCGCCUCGGCCUUGCUAUCUACCACCCCGACGCGACGAAACCCCCGAAGGUGAAGGAGCGCGUGGACUUCAAGCUCCUCCCAGGCACUGCAGAAGACGCCGACACUCGUCCUCCUGUCAGGGUGUUCAGCGGCCGCCGUCGAGGACCUUCCGUGCAUCGCCCUGGUACGUCUGGG
rnacentral:lncRNA from 1 species